rnacentral:rRNA from 1 species
AGUAACACGUGAGUAACCUGCCCCUUCUUCUGGAUAACCGCAUGAAAGUGUGGCUAAUACGGGAUAUUCUGGGUCUGUCGCAUGGCGGGCCUGGGAAAGAUGCGCCUUUGGGUGUUUUGGUGGGGGAUGGGCUCGCGGCCUAUCAGCUUGUUGGUGGGGUGAUGGCCUACCAAGGCGGUGACGGGUAGCCGGCCUGAGAGGGUGGACGGUCACACUGGGACUGAGACACGGCCCAG